GACAGAGGAUGCAAGCGUUGUCCGGAUUUAUUGGGCGUAAAGAGCGUGUAGGCGGCCAGGGAGGUCCGUUGUGAAAACUCGAGGCUCAACCUCGAGACGCCGAUGGAAACCCCCUGGCUAGAGUCCGGAAGAGGAGAAUGGAAUUCCUGGUGUAGCGGUGAAAUGCGCAGAUAUCAGGAGGAACACCAAUGGCGAAGGCAGAUCUCUGGGCCGUAACUGACGCUGAGGAGCGAAAGCAUGGGGAGCGAACAGG
rnacentral:rRNA from 1 species